AAUAAGAUCAUUUUUCAGUUUUUUGAUACAAUGUUUUGACUAUUCGUCUUAUUUAAUUUUUUUUGUGAUUAAUAUUUUUAUUUUUACUAGAUGAUAAAACAUAAAUAAUACUUUACACGUGACUAAUUUUUUUAAGUUUUUGUGCAAAUUUUUUAAAUAAGAUGAAUAGUUAAAUAUCGGACAUGAAAAA
rnacentral:pre_miRNA from 1 species